GGAAAAUCAUUGUGUAGUUUGUGCGACUGAAGAAUUGUCCCAACUACAUGUGCUGCUGACCCUUGACCUUUUCUUUAGGUGCACAGAGGAGUCUGUGGAAACAUCCAGAACUGAGGCAUCUUGUGUACAAACGUGUUCAGACCAGAUGUCAAAUGAUGUCAGAUGUCAUCCGUGAAUGGAUGCAACUGUGGAUCGUUCCAAUAAAAUGAGGCAGUUUUAUCCCUGCUGUUCCCCAGCUGCCCUGUAGGUGGCCUCAGUGUGUCUCACACCAUUUACAGAUGAUUACAGGUCGUUUACAGUUCAAACAGGUCCAACAUAAGAAAUAUGUAGAAAAUAUCCUGCUAUAACAGUUUGGGUCAAAGUGCAGAUGUUCCAGAUGUUCUGAGUCUGUCUGUGUUUCAUGUUAACAUGUAGAUGUUGGACCAAAGUGAAGCUUUAGUUUGGGCAGCUGCUGAAGGAGAGGAACAUUGCGUUCAGGUCUGGCAACAGGGAUUACUACACCACAGCCCGAUCCAACCUGAAGAGAGGCAUCAGAGAGGCAAAGGGGGACUAUAGGAGGAGGAUCGAGGACCAUUUGAAGAGUAAUACCAGCUGGCAGGUGUGGCAAGGCAUCCAGCACCUAACCAACUAUAAGAUCAAUCUCGGAGCUGCGGACGGUGACCUGGAGCUGGCAGAGGAGCUGAAUAUCUUCUUUGCCCGCUUUGAGACCAGGGUACCGGAGGUAUUGGAGCCACAGCAGCAACACGCCAC
ensembl:lncRNA